AGCAGCCGCGGUAAUUCCAGCUCCAAUAGCGUAUAUUAAAGUUGUUGCAGUUAAAAAGCUCGUAGUUGAAUUUCGGGACCAAUCUGCCGGUCGUGCCUCCGGUACGCACUGGUUUUAUUGAUUUCUCCCUUCUGACGAAUCAUGAUGUCAUUAAUUUGGUGUCAUGGGGAAUCAGGACUGUUACUUUGAAAAAAUUAGAGUGUUUAAAGCAGGCUCACGCUUGAAUACAUUAGCAUGGAAUAAUGAAAUAGGACGUUUGACCCUAUUUUGUUGGUUUCUAGGAUCGACGUAAUGAUUAAUAGGGAUAGUUGGGGGCAUUAGUAUUCAAUUGUCAGAGGUGAAAUUCUUGGAUUUAUUGAAGACUAACUACUGCGAAAGCAUUUGCCAAGGAUGUUUUCAUUAAUCAAGAACGAAAGUUAGGGGAUCGAAGACGAUCAGAUACCGUCGUAGUCUUAACCAUAAACUAUGCCGACUAGGGAUCGGAUGAUGUUAAUUUUUUAAUGACUCAUUCGGCGCCUUA
rnacentral:rRNA from 1 species